UUUCCGUAGGUGAACCUGCGGAAGGAUCAUUAAGGAAUUCCCCGAUUUUCGAAACGGCUUCUAUUCCAAACCUGUCUCUUCCUACCUUUGUUGCUUUGGCCGGCCCCUGUCUGGCGUUGGCCUCGGCUAACUGUGCCCGCCAGAGGACCCUAACUCGUAUUGUUUCGUGAUGUCUUAGUUCUAUAAAAUAGUUAAAACUUUCAACAACGGAUCUCUUGGUUCUG
rnacentral:misc_RNA from 1 species